GACGAACGCUGGCGGCGUGCUUAACACAUGCAAGUCGAACGGAAAGGCCCUGCUUUUGUGGGGUGCUCGAGUGGCGAACGGGUGAGUAACACGUGAGUAACCUGCCCUUGACUUUGGGAUAACUUCAGGAAACUGGGGCUAAUACCGGAUAGGAGCUCCUGCUGCAUGGUGGGGGUUGGAAAGUUUCGGCGGUUGGGGAUGGACUCGCGGCUUAUCAGCUUGUUGGUGGGGUAGUGGCUUACCAAGGCUUUGACGGGUAGCCGGCCUGAGAGGGUAACCGGCCACAUUGGGACUGAGGUACGGCGCAGUCGCCUACGGGGGGCAGUGGUGGGGAAUAUUGCACAAUGGGCGGAAGCCUGAUGCAGCAGCGCCGCGUGCGGGAUGACGGCCUGCGGGUUGUAAACCGCUUUCGCCUGUGACGAAGCGUGAGUGACGGUAAUGGGUAAAGAAGCACCGGCUAACUACGUG
rnacentral:rRNA from 1 species